AUGGACCCCGCCACGGAGGCCUUACCCUUAGCGGCAAUCGAGACGAACAUCGACCUUACCUUGCACGAGAGCCGUGUUGUUAAACUGCCGGACCCUUCUCCGGCCACAGACUCCGAACCGCCAGCGCCCGUUCCUAUCGAAUCUGAUUGGGUGCCGAUCAUGGAAUUUACCUCCAUGGAUAUUUUUCAGCACUCACCCUUUGGCGACAUACUGAACUCGCUAAGUCUCUCUCCUUAUCAGGAGGAUCCUGUCCGAACUAUGUUCGGCAGGACUGGGAUGCGGACGACGAAGAAAUUCACGACCCACCCACCACCCACUUAG
rnacentral:rRNA from 1 species